rnacentral:lncRNA from 1 species
AUUUCCUUCUUUUCAUUUAGGUGUGAUAAUAAAAUGAAGGACAAGUGAAAAAGAAAAGGAGAAGAAAGGUGUGUUUCGUUCGAAAGUAGCUGCACCAGGAAUGUGAGCUGGAAUGAUUUACGAUUCUUUGCAAGUCAUAAAAACAUCAGCUAUAAGGGAUGGAAAGUUUUUGCAAAGAUUUGAAAGAAAAUUUACGAUGUGCUCUCAAGUUUCGAUAUAGUGGAACAGUAUCUUUAAUUACGAGAUCGAAUAAAGUUACUUUUGAUCUUACGGAUCGCAGAAUCUAUAAAUGAUCUGUCUAUAUUAAAUUAUCGAAAAAACUAUAUAAUUUUCGAUUAAUUGAGGGGUAUUUCUUUGGAAAAAAGAAUGGUCGAUCACAGCAUGCAAUUUGUAACUGGUUCUAAGUACUCGAUAUUGAUGAACAAAUUAUGAUUAAUGUCGUAAAAAAAAAGAUAAUUAAAAGUUUAAAAAAUGAACAAUGAAAAGUACUCACCUUCUUACGAUGCGGACAGCAAGAAGAUCCAUUGCCCAUGGUUCGAUCCUUCAAACGAAAGCGAAAGAAUCAACUCUCACACUAAUUCAUAACACUUUAAUACAACGCUUCCAAAAUUUUCUUCGCACAAUCAUUUCUUUCUUUCUUCACCGCUGUUUCAAGAAAAUUGCAGGCUUAUUAUCGCGUUGGUAUUCGAGCCAACCAUUCCAUCGAUAGUCCAAUCGCUUUUAUUAACAAUCUCGACAAGAUCACCUUCUCGUAAGUUUUAUAUCUGAUCCGAAGGAAAAGGUAAUC